rnacentral:rRNA from 1 species
CGAAGAUACCAGCUGGCUGCAACUGUUUAAUAAAAACACAGCACUGUGCAAACACGAAAGUGGACGUAUACGGUGUGACGCCUGCCCGGUGCUGGAAGGUUAAUUGAUGGGGUCAGCCGCAAGGCGAAGCUCUUGAUCGAAGCCCCAGUAAACGGCGGCCGUAACUAUAACGGUCCUAAGGUAGCGAAAUUCCUUGUCGGGUAAGUUCCGACCUGCACGAAUGGCGUAAUGAUGGCCAGGCUGUCUCCACCCGAGACUCAGUGAAAUUGAACUCGCUGUGAAGAUGCAGUGUACCCGCGGCAAGACGGAAAGACCCCGUGAACCUUUACUAUAGCUUGACACUGAACAUUGAGCCUUGAUGUGUAGGAUAGGUGGGAGGCUUUGAAGCGUGGACGCCAGUCUGCGUGGAGCCAUCCUUGAAAUACCACCCUUUAAUGUUUGAUGUUCUAACUCUGCCCCAUAAUCUGGGGUGAGGACAGUGUCUGGUGGGUAGUUUGACUGGGGCGGUCUCCUCCCAAAGAGUAACGGAGGAGCACGAAGGUUAGCUAAUCACGGUCGGACAUCGUGAGGUUAGUGCAAAGGCAUAAGCUAGCUUGACUGCGAGAGUGACGGCUCGAGCAGGUACGAAAGUAGGUCUUAGUGAUCCGGUGGUUCUGAAUGGAAGGGCCAUCGCUCAACGGAUAAAAGGUACUCCGGGGAUAACAGGCUGAUACCGCCCAAGAGUUCAUAUCGACGGCGGUGUUUGGCACCUCGAUGUCGGCUCAUCACAUCCUGGGGCUGAAGUAGGUCCCAAGGGUAUGGCUGUUCGCCAUUUAAAGUGGUACGCGAGCUGGGUUUAGAACGUCGUGAGACAGUUCGGUCCCUAUCUGCCGUGGGCGUUGGAAGAUUGAGAGGGGUUGCUCCUAGUACGAGAGGACCGGAGUGAACGCACCACUGGUGUUCGGGUUGUCAUGCCAAUGGCAUUGCCCGGUAGCUAAGUGCGGAAAAGAUAAGCGCUGAAAGCAUCUAAGCGCGAAACUUGC